AGGGGACAGAGCACCGCUCUCCUAAAGCGGGUGUCGGAGGUUCGAAUCCUCUUCGGGACACCA
rnacentral:tRNA from 1 species